CGUCAAGCGCUGAGUAACUGGGAAUUAUUAUUUUGAGUUGGUUUGACUCAUUCUGAAUAAAUCGAAGCAGAACUAGAAAAUGAGUUCACAGUGAAAAUUUCAAGAAGUUCAACGGUCGCUGAUAGAAUUUCACCAUUAACAUCUUGAAACAACGAUCCAAAGAAACUGAAGCACAAAUAUUUAGACAAGGACAUUCACAGAUCGCUCGAAAAAUGGAUGGAACAGUUCCGGGAUUUUGCAGUCGCUCUUGUACACUUCGUCAAAUGUCCGCAUCAGUUACCGCUAAUACGACAUCCAGCUAUAACAGCAGAUAUGAAGGAGGUUUGGGCAGAGGUCCACGAUCCCUAACUAAUCUAUGCAUCUUUUGCCAAUGCUCUUUUCUUCUUGCCGCAUCAUUAACAACGGCCGCUCAACAGCCAUUUUAGGAACGUUGAAUUAUUUUAUUAUGGA